CGCGCGAACGCGUGGUUUUGAAUGCGGGGCGUGCCGAGGGGUGGGUGUGGGCGUGUGCGGUGGGCCAGCAAUGUGCGUGCAUGAAGGUCCAUCUACCAGUGGUGCUCCUCAGUUGACCCGGCGAGAUGUAGGCGCUCCUCUGCACCAUCUUAUGAUGCAUCCGCGAGUAACGAAAAACCGCGGCCGUCCCAAAGGUAGCGUCAGCACAGUCGUGGAAUCAGCAAAGAAAUGAGAGGACUGAACAGCAGCGGUGGAUGGUAGGAGCGCUGGAUUACACCAUCCACGUACUCGGCUUUAAACCCGUCAUCAUCAUGCACCGCGUGAUCACGGCGUUCCAUGAAUUGGACAUAACUGCGUUCAUCGGAAAUGCCUUGACUUUUCCCGGAUACCUGUAGAGCUCUUAGGCUUAUUCUAUUGUAGAGAACAUGCUCGAUGUCUAUAUUCGUCUGCAUGUCAUGACGUGAAUAGCUAGUUUGCCAAGACACACCUUCAUGCACAUAUAUGAGUAUUGCGAGCCCAUCCAGAGACUGAAGGACUGAAAGCGUUUCCGACUAAUUGUGCUGAUUGGUUCCAAACUGGAUAAGCGUUGUAAAAAAGCACCGCUCGCCAAGCAAUGGUUGCUUACGUCCAACCUGUUGCGUCCCUGGAUGUGCUUGCAUAAUCUCCUAACUAGUCGAGAAGGACGUUGAGUGAGCUUAGAUCUGUCGUGUACCUGAACUAAGUGGCCUCGUCAAAUGUCUGAUGCGUUCAUAGUCGACAGUUCUACAUAUGCGAGAACUGACCGGGUAAUUAUAUAUUUGCCCCAUGUGAAGAACACGUAUACAAUUGUAUGUACAAUUUUGGUUUGUGCUAGUUUAACCAGUGACCCCCAAGGAGAAUGUGCUUUUAAAAAUACCAACUUGAGAGCAUUGCUUUGGCUACUUAAUCAAUAUGCCGUGCCGCUGUUAUAUAAUCGCUUAAUGCGUUCAACACUUUUCAGCCAUGGUUGUAAUUGAUUAUGUUUUUUGACACUGGUUGUGCUCGCACGCUUUUAAUCUAG